AGGCUUAACACAUGCAAGUCGGACGGGCACCUUCGGGUGUCAGUGGCACAUGGGUGACUAACACGUGGGAACGUGGCCGGCGGGUCCUAAUAACUCAGGGAAACUUGAGCUAAUACCGGAUACGCCCUUAUGGGGCAAGGUUCACUGCCGAAGGAUCGGCCCGCGUCUGAUUACCUUGUCGGUGGGGUAACGGCCUACCAAGCCGACGAUCAGUAGCUGGUCUGAGAGGAUGAUCAGCCACACUGGGAGUGAGACACGGCCCAGACUCCUACGGGAGGCAGCAGUGGGGAAUAUUGGACAAUGGGCGCAAGCCUGAUCCAGCCAUGCCGCGUGAGUGAUGAAGGCCUUAGGGUUGUAAAGCUCUUUUGUCCGGGACGAUAAUGACGGUACCGGAAGAAUAAGCCCCGGCUAACUUCGUGCCAGCAGCCGCGGUAAUACGAAGGGGGCUAGCGUUGCUCGGAAUCACUGGGCGUAAAGGGCGCGUAGGCGGCCGAUUAAGUCGGGGGUGAAAGCCUGUGGCUCAACCACAGAAUUGCCUUCGAUACUGGUUGGCUUGAGACCGGAAGAGGACAGCGGAACUGCGAGUGUAGAGGUGAAAUUCGUAGAUAUUCGCAAGAACACCAGUGGCGAAGGCGGCUGUCUGGUCCGGUUCUGACGCUGAGGCGCGAAAGCGUGGGGAGCAAACAGGAUUAGAUACCCUGGUAGUC
rnacentral:rRNA from 1 species